rnacentral:misc_RNA from 1 species
CAUCGAACGGUUGGCGCGCAACCCUCCUCAGUAAACAUCACGCUCCGUUGUGGGCUGGGUGUUCGUUUGCGGUUCCUGUGUUGCGUUCCUCUCUAAUGGCAUUCGUGGUGGCUUGCGAAGACCCUUUCCGUCCAAGGCCUCCUUUGGAGGGUCGUUGGAGGAUUUCAAAGUAGUGCUCGUGCCCCCGGUUUGUCGAACGGCUAACGCGGCUCACGAGUAUCUAUUGGCCUCUUGGAUGCGGUGCAUGCGGCGAACGCGGGUGCGUUGCCCCGUCGUGUCCCCUUCAAUUUUUCGGUUGGCUCGAAUGACGCGUGCCAUCGAGCUUGCUUUGCCCGCCUCUCUCGAGCGGCAAUGCUCGCACGGUGUCGCACUGUCACGAGAGGAUGCUACCUGGUUGAUCCUGCCAGUAGUCAUAU